rnacentral:rRNA from 1 species
GAUGAACGCUGGCGGCGUGCCUAAUACAUGCAAGUCGAGCGAACGGACGAGAAACUUGCUUCUCUGAUGUUAGCGGCGGACGGGUGAGUAACACGUGGAUAACCUACCUAUAAGACUGGGAUAACUUCGGGAAACCGGAGCUAAUACCGGAUAAUAUUUUGAACCGCAUGGUUCGAAAGUGAAAGACGGUCUUGCUGUCACUUAUAGAUGGAUCCGCGCUGCAUUAGCUAGUUGGUAAGGUAACGGCUUACCAAGGCAACGAUGCAUAGCCGACCUGAGAGGGUGAUCGGCCACACUGGAACUGAGACACGGUCCAGACUCCUACGGGAGGCAGCAGUAGGGAAUCUUCCGCAAUGGGCGAAAGCCUGACGGAGCAACGCCGCGUGAGUGAUGAAGGUCUUCGGAUCGUAAAACUCUGUUAUUAGGGAAGAACAUAUGUGUAAGUAACUGUGCACAUCUUGACGGUACCUAAUCAGAAAGCCACGGCUAACUACGUG